GACGAACGCUGGCGGCGUGCUUAACACAUGCAAGUCGAACGGAAAGGCCCUGCUUUUGUGGGGUGCUCGAGUGGCGAACGGGUGAGUAACACGUGAGUAACCUGCCCUUGACUUUGGGAUAACUUCAGGAAACUGGGGCUAAUACCGGAUAGGAGCUCCUGCUGCAUGGUGGGGGUUGGAAAGUUUCGGCGGUUGGGGAUGGACUCGCGGCUUAUCAGCUUGUUGGUGGGGUAGUGGCUUACAAAGACUUUGACGGGUAGCCGGCCUGAGAGGGUGACCGGCCACAUUGGGACUGAGAUACGGCCCAGACUCCUACGGGAGGCAGCAGUGGGGAAUAUUGCACAAUGGGCGGAAGCCUGAUGCAGCAACGCCGCGUGCGGGAUGACGGCCUUCGGGUUGUAAACCGCUUUCGCCUGUGACGAAGCGUGAGUGACGGUAAUGGGUAAAGAAGCACCGGCUAACUACGUG
rnacentral:rRNA from 1 species